rnacentral:rRNA from 1 species
UACGAAGGGGGCUAGCGUUGCUCGGAAUUACUGGGCGUAAAGGGUGCGUAGGCGGUUCGUUAAGUCUGUCGUGAAAUCCCCGGGCUCAACCUGGGAAUGGCGAUGGAUACUGGCGAGCUAGAGUGUGUCAGAGGAUGGUGGAAUUCCCGGUGUAGCGGUGAAAUGCGUAGAGAUCCGGAGGAACACCGACGGCGAAGGCAGCGCCCUGGACGAGACCUGACGCUCAGGCACGAAAGCUGGGGGAGCAAACAGG